CUCCUACGGGAGGCAGCAGUGAGGAAUAUUGGUCAAUGGACGAGAGUCUGAACCAGCCAAGUAGCGUGCAGGAAGACGGCCCUAUGGGUUGUAAACUGCUUUUAUAAGGGAAUAAAGUCGCCUACGUGUAGGCGUUUGUAUGUACCUUAUGAAUAAGCAUCGGCUAACUCCGUGCCAGCAGCCGCGGUAAUACGGAGGAUGCGAGCGUUAUCCGGAUUUAUUGGGUUUAAAGGGAGCGCAGACGGGUCGUUAAGUCAGCUGUGAAAGUUUGGGGCUCAACCUUAAAAUUGCAGUUGAUACUGGCGUCCUUGAGUGCGGUUGAGGUGUGCGGAAUUCGUGGUGUAGCGGUGAAAUGCUUAGAUAUCACGAAGAACUCCGAUUGCGAAGGCAGCACACUAAUCCGUAACUGACGUUCAUGCUCGAAAGUGUGGGUAUCAAACAGGAUUAGAUACCCUGGUAGUCCACACGGUAAACGAUGGAUACUCGCUGUUGGCGAUAUACUGUCAGCGGCUUAGCGAAAGCGUUAAGUAUCCCACCUGGGGAGUACGCCGGCAACGGUGAAACUCAAAGGAAUUGACGGGGGCCCGCACAAGCGGAGGAACAUGUGGUUUAAUUCGAUGAUACGCGAGGAACCUUACCCGGGCUUAAAUUGCAAAGGAAUAAUCUGGAAACAGAUUAGUCUUCGGACCUUUGUGAAGGUGCUGCAUGGUUGUCGUCAGCUCGUGCCGUGAGGUGUCGGCUUAAGUGCCAUAACGAGCGCAACCCUCGCCGCCAGUUACUAGCAGGUAAUGCUGAGGACUCUGGCGGGACUGCCAUCGUAAGAUGUGAGGAAGGUGGGGAUGACGUCAAAUCAGCACGGCCCUUACGUCCGGGGCUACACACGUGUUACAAUGGGCGGUACAGAAGGCAGCUACCUGGCGACAGGAUGCCAAUCCCUAAAGCCGCUCUCAGUUCGGACUGGAGUCUGCAACCCGACUCCACGAAGCUGGAUUCGCUAGUAAUCGCGCAUCAGCCACGGCGCGGUGAAUACGUUCCCGGGCCUUGUACACACCGC
rnacentral:rRNA from 1 species